GGCACAGAGAACUGCCAGGGUGCACAUUAGGUAAAUGAAAAGCUGGCUGGGGUGCAGGGCUGGAGGAGCUGAGGGAAGAUGUGGGUGAAUGGGGCUCAUUAGGCUUUGAUGGGCUUGGGUAAUUGCGGGGGAGGAGAAGCGGAAGCUGUGAGCUGCUGCGGAUCCCUGGUACAGCAGCCACGGCCCGUGCAGUGCACUUGAUUGCAAACGGCUGAAGCAGGCUUGAAGCAAAUGAAGUCUGUCUGGCACCAGAGCAACAGAUCUGUCCUUGCUGCAGGGUGGGGAGGCUCUGUCCUGGAGAGCAGUGACCCAGUGGAUUUAGGAUGAUGAUGGAAGAUCACCUCGGCAGGAGCUCUCAGCAUGAUGCUGUCAGAAGGGCUAAACCUGGCCUUGGAUGCCUGAGAAGUGAAGCAGCAAAGUGGUCAUCGUGCACCCUAUCAGGGGAGCUGCCAUGAAGAAAGACUUGGAGCUCCCUGAGAGAUGGCAAAAGAUGAUUAGAAAUGAGCAGGCUCUGGAAACCCUGUUGGGAGUUCUACCUCCAGACACUCAGCAAGGAAGCUGGGAGAGGGUUUGGUGUCUUGAAUGGGAAAGAUUCCAUUCCUCAGGCUGUGAUGAAGAGAAGGAAUUGCUCUGGCCUGGCAACCAAGGGCCUUCAGCACUGAGCAACAGCUAAGGGAGCUGAUGAACGUGGAGCCAGGAGCUGGAGGUCUGUGGGCUCAGAGGGGCUGCUGAAGAGCCAUUCAGGCCACAAUUGGCUGGGCACAGCUGCACCUGCGCAUUUCCUUUGCCUCCUGCCCAAGCACUUCAAGCAAAGCUAUUUCCGUAGUCUCAGCAGCCCCUGGGGGGCAGCCCUCUGCCGUAGGGGUGCUGCAGGGCACUGCCUGAGGCACUGGCUGCAGGGCAACCAGCACCUUCCACUCUUACUCUGAUGGCUUCCUUUGCUUUAUGCCCUGCGACUUUGGGCUGAGGGCUCAGAAACUGAGCCCUGCCUGGCCGAAGCUGCACCUGCAGGUGCUGUGGGUCUGAACUUGUCUGAGGUUUUCUACUGCUUCUAGUUUUGUAAUCCGGACCCUUUUCUAGGCUAAUAAAUGUUGAAGUGUUUGCCCACA